rnacentral:rRNA from 1 species
UCGAGGGGCAGCAUGAUAGGUAGCAAUACUUAUUGAUGGCGACCGGCGCACGGGUGAGUAACGCGUAUGCAACUUACCUAUCAGAGGGGGAUAGCCCGGCGAAAGUCGGAUUAAUACUCCAUAAAACAGGGGUUCCGCAUGGGACUAUUUGUUAAAGAUUCAUCGCUGAUAGAUAGGCAUGCGUUCCAUUAGGCAGUUGGCGGGGUAACGGCCCACCAAACCGACGAUGGAUAGGGGUUCUGAGAGGAAGGUCCCCCACAUUGGUACUGAGACACGGACCAAACUCCUACGGGAGGCAGCAGUGAGGAAUAUUGGUCAAUGGCCGAGAGGCUGAACCAGCCAAGUCGCGUGAAGGAUGAAGGAUCUAUGGUUUGUAAACUUCUUUUAUAGGGGAAUAAAGUGUGGGACGUGUCCUAUUUUGUAUGUACCCUAUGAAUAAGCAUCGGCUAACUCCGUGCCAGCAGCCGCGGUAAUACGGAGGAUGCGAGCGUUAUCCGGAUUUAUUGGGUUUAAAGGGUGCGUAGGUGGUAAUUUAAGUCAGCGGUGAAAGUUUGUGGCUCAACCAUAAAAUUGCCGUUGAAACUGGGUUACUUGAGUGUGUUUGAGGUAGGCGGAAUGCGUGGUGUAGCGGUGAAAUGCAUAGAUAUCACGCAGAACUCCAAUUGCGAAGGCAGCUUACUAAACCAUAACUGACACUGAAGCACGAA